AGAGUUUGAUCAUGGCUCAGAACGAACGCUGGCGGCAGGCUUAACACAUGCAAGUCGAGCGCCCCGCAAGGGGAGCGGCAGACGGGUGAGUAACGCGUGGGAACGUACCCUUUUCUACGGAAUAACGCAUGGAAACGUGUGCUAAUACCGUAUGUGCCCUUCGGGGGAAAGAUUUAUCGGAAAAGGAUCGGCCCGCGUUGGAUUAGCUAGUUGGUGGGGUAAAGGCCUACCAAGGCGACGAUCCAUAGCUGGUCUGAGAGGAUGAUCAGCCACAUUGGGACUGAGACACGGCCCAAACUCCUACGGGAGGCAGCAGUGGGGAAUAUUGGACAAUGGGCGCAAGCCUGAUCCAGCCAUGCCGCGUGUGUGAUGAAGGCCUUAGGGUUGUAAAGCACUUUCACCGGAGAAGAUAAUGACGGUAUCCGGAGAAGAAGCCCCGGCUAACUUCGUGCCAGCAGCCGCGGUAAUACGAAGGGGGCUAGCGUUGUUCGGAUUUACUGGGCGUAAAGCGCACGUAGGCGGAUCGAUCAGUCAGGGGUGAAAUCCCAGAGCUCAACUCUGGAACUGCCUUUGAUACUGUCGAUCUGGAGUAUGGAAGAGGUGAGUGGAAUUCCGAGUGUAGAGGUGAAAUUCGUAGAUAUUCGGAGGAACACCAGUGGCGAAGGCGGCUCACUGGUCCAUUACUGACGCUGAGGUGCGAAAGCGUGGGGAGCAAACAGGAUUAGAUACCCUAGUAGUCC
rnacentral:rRNA from 1 species